rnacentral:pre_miRNA from 1 species
UGGACAGAUUAUUGUAUUCGACUGUAGUCACGACGUGAAAUAGGGGAUUACACAGUUUUUAAAACGGAAAGUGAAUCAAUUAACAUAAUAGACUCCU